GUGAUGGAGUUGUUAUCUUUAUAUUUUCUUUUUACUUAUAUGAUUAUUUAAAACUGAUUAAUAUUCUCUUGGUUUAAGAGACCCUUGGAGUGGUGGAGGGUAUUCCACCUCUUUUUAUUUGCUCAUUUUCUCCAAUAAUCAUUGCCUGUAAUGGAGUAUUUUUUAUUGAAUGCUAAGAGCUUUUAUCAAGGUCCAAUGUGAUAGCUAGCUAAUUAUGUUUGUGGGUUGCAGUUUGCUAAAGAAUAUAUCAAAAAGUAUAGUGAAUGUGUAACUGUUAAAACAAAUCACAAUGACAGUUAUGUAUGUUGUGCUCUUUUUAUUAUGUGGUGGUAAUGUUUGUUACACAUGUAAGUAGUAUGUAACCUCUCAUAAGUCUCAUUAUCAUUUCUCUUUUCUCUUUUCCUUUUAUUUAUCAUAAGUCUCUUUAUGUUUAUGCAGUUUGAUACUACAUUAGUUGUCUAAGAUAUGUAAGUAAAAUUUCUUCCACUUUCUUCCAGUUUGAUACUACAGUUUGCUGAAGAAUAUAUCAGAAAGCAUAGUGAAUAUUGUAGCAAAAGAAAAGGUCCAAAUUAAUACUAUAUAAUAUUUUAUCCUCUUUUUCUUUCCUUAUUUCUGUGUUUUAUGAACAGGUGCUCAUCACUAAACCUAAGGUUCUCAACUAAGAAAAUCCAGAGUGGCUAAAGGUGGUAAGGGAUCAAGAGGGUGUGUAAUAGCAUCAUGCUCACAACUGGCAAUUAGUUUGGCCACUGAUAAAUGCCUGCAAGGCCAAUGGUUUGCAUUAUAUCCAGUCCCCUUGUUGAGGGUGACAUGCUCCCAUGACUCUCAGUCAGCAUCCGAUUUCAUAGUUUUAUGAGUUUGGGUCAGGGAUUUCUUCAACCGGGGGAAGGUGCUUGGAUACAGGGCAGCAGCUUAUGUAUCCCAAGGGAAUAACCAUGGCCACCUUUCAUAUGGGGAAUGAUCAUGUUGAGAAUUGGGCUGAUUUAGGCAUGGCAGACAAUAACCAACAAAUUAAUGAUACUUGCACAUAUAUUGAUACUGAUGAUAAAAUCCAUUGCAACAGAGUUAAUAACGAGACACAUAUGGUUUACCACUUCAAGGAUCAGAUGAAGUCCAAUCCUGAAGAUCAGAAGGUUUUUAUUUUUUAUCAGGUCCAAGUCCAACUGCUUGUAGCUACUGAUUGUGUGUUCCAUAAGUGAUGGAUUAUUUGUAUUGUUUACUCUUAUACAUUAAUAUAGUUGUCCACUUAAGUUACAUGUGGAUUUGAAUCUUGAGAUGGUUGGUCAGAGAUGUUAACUUUUUAAAUACUAGAGAUGUUAUCCACUAGUUAUUCAUUCUUAGUUA